UACGUAGGUGGCAAGCGUUGUCCGGAUUUAUUGGGUUUAAAGGGUGCGUAGGCGGUCCUAUAAGUCAGUGGUGAAAUACGGCAGCUCAACUGUCGAGGUGCCAUUGAUACUGUAGGACUAGAGUACUGUUGAGGUAGGCGGAAUGGACGGUGUAGCGGUGAAAUGCUUAGAUAUCGUCCAGAACACCGAUAGCGAAGGCAGCUUACUAAAGAGUAACUGACGCUGAGGCACGAAAGUGUGGGGAUCAAACAGG
rnacentral:rRNA from 2 species